AUCCAGGUGAUGAGUCCCGAACAGGAAGAAAUGCGCGUCCUGUAU
rfam:Trichobilharzia regenti genome assembly, scaffold: TRE_contig0002974